rnacentral:rRNA from 1 species
UGGGGAAUAUUGGACAAUGGGCGAAAGCCUGAUCCAGCCAUGCCGCGUGUGUGAAGAAGGUCUUAGGAUCGUAAAGCACUUUAAGUUGGGAGGAAGGGCAGUAAAUUAAUACUUUGCUGUUUUGACGUUACCGACAGAAUAAGCACCGGCUAACUCUGUGCCAGCAGCCGCGGUAAUACAGAGGGUGCAAGCGUUAAUCGGAAUUACUGGGCGUAAAGCGCGCGUAGGUGGUUCGUUAAGUUGGAUGUGAAAUCCCCGGGCUCAACCUGGGAACUGCAUUCAAAACUGUCGAGCUAGAGUAUGGUAGAGGGUGGUGGAAUUUCCUGUGUAGCGGUGAAAUGCGUAGAUAUAGGAAGGAACACCAGUGGCGAAGGCGACCACCUGGACUGAUACUGACACUGAGGUGCGAAAGCGUGGGGAGCAAACAGGAUUAGAUACCCUUGUAGUCCUGAGCGGGCUGGCAAGGCGCAU